GAUACCACUUUAUUCGAUUACCCCAUCCUUAGGAAUUUCUCAUCUAUCUGAUUUCUCUGUUUUAUCGUUAUCGCUUAAUCGUUCUCAUUGCCUGUUUCUUUAUUUUUGCAAUUACUCGACCACACCCAGUGUCUGGCAACAGACUGUGCAGUCGAGUAUAUCUGUUUCAUAUCCUUUCUGUUACUCGACUUGUUACUCGACCACAUCCUACUUCUGGCAUCAGCCUGUUGUGGUCGAGUGAUUUUAAUAAUUCUGUUAUUAUUUCUGUUUUCUGCAUGUUCACGUAGGACUGUUAGAAACCCCUAUACUGUUAUUGUUUGGCUUGACUUAGUGACUUCUGAUCACAUCUCAUUUGUUUGCAUCACACCCAUUUACAACGACAUGAUUGGUGUUUUAGGAUAAUUGACUAAAAACA
rnacentral:sRNA from 1 species